UCCCUUAAGUUCCUGGGUGCAGUUCUGGCUACUUCCAACAGAGGGCGCUGUCUUCUCACUUCAACCUCCCUGAGCGUUGAAACCAGGAGGGGUUAGGAAGAAAGGAUCCUGAUUUGGGGCUUGCUGUAAGAGGUGAUUUCUUGACUUCUUACAGAUCUGAUUGUGGGGUCCUUUGGUGUGGACAAGGCUGUGGUAUACAGGUAUGAGCUCCAAAGGGAGAUGAGGGGACAACCUGGGUGGACUGGAACUGGAAAUUUCUCAACAGAGCUGAGGUUGGGAAAAUCAAUGCAGAGGACACACAUUCUGGCGCUUGGGCAUCAGUUUCCUGUGUCCAGGUUACAGAGGAGUCCUAAUUCUAUUGACCCCACAUUCACUCUUGGCAGGGGCCGCCCCAUCGUGUCUGCCAGUGCCUCCCUCACCAUCUUCCCCGCCAUGUUCAACCCAGAGGAGCGGAGCUGCAGCUUAGAGGGGAACCCUGUGGCCUGCAUCAACCUUAGCUUCUGCCUCAAUGCUUCUGGAAAACAUGUUGCUGACUC
rnacentral:sRNA from 1 species